GAUGAACGCUGGCGGCGUGCCUAAUACAUGCAAGUCGAGCGAACAGACGAGGAGCUUGCUCCUCUGAUGUUAGCGGCGGACGGGUGAGUAACACGUGGAUAACCUACCUAUAAGACUGGGAUAACUUCGGGAAACCGGAGCUAAUACCGGAUAACAUGUUGAACCGCAUGGUUCAACAGUGAAAGACGGUCUUGCUGUUACUUAUAGAUGGAUCCGCGCCGCAUUAGCUAGUUGGUAAGGUAACGGCUUACCAAGGCAACGAUGCGUAGCCGACCUGAGAGGGUGAUCGGCCACACUGGAACUGAGACACGGUCCAGACUCCUACGGGAGGCAGCAGUAGGGAAUCUUCCGCAAUGGGCGAAAGCCUGACGGAGCAACGCCGCGUGAGUGAAGAAGGUCUUCGGAUCGUAAAACUCUGUUAUUAGGGAAGAACAAAUGUGUAAGUAACUAUGCACGUCUUGACGGUACCUAAUCAGAAAGCCACGGCUAACUACGUG
rnacentral:rRNA from 1 species